rnacentral:rRNA from 1 species
GACGUUACUACAGAAGAAGCACCGGCUAACUCCGUGCCAGCAGCCGCGGUAAUACGGAGGUGCGAGCGUUAAUCGGAAUUACUGGGCGUAAAGCGCAUGCAGGCGGCCUGUUAAGUCAGAUGUGAAAGCCCCGGGGCUUAACCUCGGAAUUGCAUUUGAAACUGGCAGGCUAGAGUCUUGUAGAGGGGGUAGAAUUUCAGGUGUAGCGGUGAAAUGCGUAGAGAUCUGAAGGAAUACCAGUGGCGAAGGCGGCCCCCUGGACAAAGACUGACGCUCAGACUGCGAAAGCGUGGGGAGCCAAACAGGAUUAGAUACCCCUGGGAG